rnacentral:rRNA from 1 species
CUUCUUCGGAAGUGAUUAAAGUGGCGCACGGGUGAGUAACGCGUAGACAAUCUGCCCUUCAGUCCGGGACAACUUUUCGAAAGGGGAGCUAAUACCGGAUAACAAUGUUUAACAUAAGUUGAAUAUUUGAAAGCUCCGGCGCUGAUGGAUGAGUCUGCGUCCCAUUAGCUUGUUGGUGCGGUAGCGGCGCACCAAGGCCGCGAUGGGUAGCGGGUUUGAGAGGACGAUCCGCCACACUGGAACUGAGACACGGUCCAGACUCCUACGGGAGGCAGCAGUGGGGAAUAUUGCACAAUGGAGGAAACUCUGAUGCAGCAAUGCCGCGUGAGUGAAGAAGGCCCUUGGGUCGUAAAGCUCUUUUAUGGGGGAAGAUGAUGACGGUACCCCAGGAAUAAGCACCGGCUAACUACGUGCCAGCAGCCGCGGUAAUACGUAGGGGUGCGAGCGUUUGUUCGGGANUUACUGGGGCGUAANGGGCGCGCAGGGCGGGAGGGUGCAAGUCGGAGGUGAAAGCCCGGGGCUCAACCCCGGAGGGUCUUUCGAAACUACAUCUCUAGAGAGGGUCAGGGGCCGGCAGAAUUCCUGGUGUAGAGGUGAAAUUCGUAGAUAUCAGGAGGAAUACCGGUGGCGAAAGCGGCCGGCUGGGGCCACUCUGACGCUGAGGCGCGAAAGCGUGGGGAGCAAACAGGAUUAGAUACCCUGGUAGUCCACGCCGUAAACGAUGAGCACUGGACGUUCGGAGGGUUCGACCCUUCUGGGUGUUUCAGCUAA